rnacentral:tRNA from 1 species
GGGCCUCUAGCUCAGUUGGUAGAGCUACGGACUUUUAAUCCGCAGGUCAUGGGUUCGAGCCCCAUGGGGCCCACC